rnacentral:tRNA from 1 species
GCCUUCGUGGCGUAAUGGUAGCACACUCGGCAUGGAUUCGAGAGAUCCAGGUUCGAGUCCUGGCUAGGGCA